CCCUCCCCCCGCGCGCCCGGUUUCCUAAUGCAAAUCUCCCCGCCGCAGCCAAGCGCUCCGUGGACCUGGGUGCGUGGUUGCCCACCGCGGAAAAGGGGAAUCCGGAAAAGGGGAUCCCGGAUGUUUUCAAAUUUCUCAAGAUGAGAUGCAUCUCGGAACACACUUUGGAAUUUUGGAGCACUCUGUACACCAGUUUCCUUCGCCUCCUCUCUGCCCUCCAAGUCAAACACAGAAUCUAGGAAUUUUAUUUCUAUUUUACAGGAAACAGAUCUUUCUAACUUUGGAAGAUUGCCACCGAGUACUGCUAGUGUUGUCACUAACAUGCUACUGAACAGCAUACUGAAAGCCACUCUAAAGCAGGCGCCUAGAGCUGGAGACAGUGGAGUGCUGAGGAGGAGAGCGGCUCUGUUGAGGGCAGGGGAAAACAAGGAGCCAUUUGAGUCAAGAGGCCCAGGAGUUUCUGGAAACUCACAAGGAAUCUGGCAGCACAGUUCCCAAGAGGUCUGACCCAGGAGGAUCAGAAAAACUCUGUGGUUCUCAGAGGGAAAUCCCCAACCCUGGGAGUCCAGAAGCUGCAGGCUCUUUCCAGAAGGGAGAAGUUCCUGCCAAGGCCCUUCGAGACUAAGCCUGUAGAUGAGGAAACGGAGCCCUAAAGAUGAUGAGUGACUUCAUCAAGAUCAGAUGGCAAGUUAGGGGCAUAUGUGACUCCUACAAAGUUUCUUCCCAAUAUAUAAGAGGCAACUGUAGUCCAUAACUCACCCCUACGGGAUCCAUGGAGGAGCUUCUGGAAUGCCCAUAAACUCCAAAAGCUAAAUGUUGAAUUUUGAGUGUAUGUUCAAAUGUGCACUUUCUAAGAAGAAAAUUAAUGGCUUCCAAAAUAUCUUUAGUUUGUGACUCAAGAAAGAUUACUAUCUCCUUAAAAGGGUAAAUUUGGGGGCACCUGGUGGCUCAGUCCAUUAAGCAUCCAAUUCUUGAUU